rnacentral:rRNA from 1 species
CAUGCAAGUCGGACGGGGUUAGCAGGGAGCACAGAGCGGAGAGCAAAGAGUAAGCGCUCUAAUCUCUAUGCUCUAUGCUCUUUGCUAAUUCAGUGGCGGACGGGUGAGUAACACGUAGGCAACCUACCCUUGAGCGUGGGACAACCCCGAGAAAUCGGGGCUAAUACCGCAUAAGACCACAGACUGAGAUGUCAGUGGUAAAAGGAGUAAUCCGCUUGAGGAUGGGUCUGCGGCCUAUCAGGUAGUUGGUGGGGUAAUGGCCUACCAAGCCGAAGACGGGUAGCCGGGCUGAGAGGUCGGACGGCCACACUGGAACUGAGACACGGUCCAGACUCCUACGGGAGGCAGCAGUGGGGAAUUUUGCGCAAUGGGGGAAACCCUGACGCAGCGACGCCGCGUGGAGGAUGAAGGUCUUCGGGUUGUAAACUCCUUUUCUCAGGAAAGAUGAUGACG